AACCCAUACUGAGGACAUUUUCGCUGGAGAUCCUUGAAGCUAUCCCAUACCUUAAAAAGUGACUCCAAUUCCACUUGCACAAAAGAGGAUAUUUUAUUCCUGAGCUU